rnacentral:rRNA from 1 species
AUUGAACGCUGGCGGCAUGCCUUACACAUGCAAGUCGAACGGCAGCACGGGAGCAAUCCUGGUGGCGAGUGGCGAACGGGUGAGUAAUAUAUCGGAACGUGCCCAGUCGUGGGGGAUAACGCAGCGAAAGCUGUGCUAAUACCGCAUACGAUCUACGGAUGAAAGCGGGGGAUCGCAAGACCUCGCGCGAUUGGAGCGGCCGAUAUCAGAUUAGCUAGUUGGUGGGGUAACAGCCCACCAAGGCGACGAUCUGUAGCUGGUCUGAGAGGACGACCAGCCACACUGGAACUGAGACACGGUCCAGACUCCUACGGGAGGCAGCAGUGGGGAAUUUUGGACAAUGGGCGCAAGCCUGAUCCAGCAAUGCCGCGUGCAGGAUGAAGGCCUUCGGGUUGUAAACUGCUUUUGUACGGAGCGAAACGGUCUCGUCUAAUACAAGGGGCUAAUGACGGUACCGUAAGAAUAAGCACCGGCUAACUACGUGCCAGCAGCCGCCGUAAAAC